GAUGAACGCUAGCGGCAGGCUUAACACAUGCAAGUCGAGGGGCAGCGCGACGUAGCAAUACGUUGGCGGCGACCGGCGGAAGGGUGCGUAACGCGUGAGCAACUUGCCCGUGACAGGGGGAUAACCGGUGGAAACGCCGCCUAACACCCCGUAACAGCAUCGCCCGCAUGGGCGGUGUUUGAAAUCCGAGGAGGUCACGGAUGGGCUCGCGUGGCAUUAGCCAGUUGGCGGGGUAACGCCCACCAAAGCGACGAUGCCUAGGGGUUCUGAGAGGAAGGUCCCCCACACUGGAACUGAGACACGGUCCAGACUCCUACGGGAGGCAGCAGUGAGGAAUAUUGGACAAUGGAGGAAACUCUGAUCCAGCCAUGCCGCGUGAAGGAAGUAGGCCCUAUGGGUCGUGAACUUCUUUUGUCGCAGAGCAAUAAGGGCCACGCGUGGUCCGAUGAGGUAUGCGACGAAUAAGCAUCGGUAACUCCGUGCCAGCAGCCGCGGU
rnacentral:rRNA from 1 species